rnacentral:tRNA from 1 species
CAAAUUAAAACUUUUUUAGAGAAGUAUUUCAUUUACAUUGAAAUUAUAUUUGUGCGAUUCAAAUUAAUUUGA